UGGGGAAUAUUGCACAAUGGGCGAAAGCCUGAUGCAGCAACGCCGCGUGAGUGAUGAAGGCCUUCGGGUUGUGAAGCUCUGUCUUCUGGGACGAUAAUGACGGUACCAGAGGAGGAAGCCACGGCUAACUACGUGCCAGCAGCCGCGGUAAUACGUAGGUGGCAAGCGUUGUCCGGAUUUACUGGGCGUAAAGAAUGCGUAGGCGGAUAUUUAAGUGAGAUGUGAAAUUCCCGGGCUUAACUUGGGAGCUGCAUUUCAAACUGGGUAUCUAGAGUGCGGGAGAGGAAAGUGGAAUUCCUAGUGUAGCGGUGAAAUGCGUAGAGAUUAGGAAGAACACCAGUGGCGAAGGCGACUUUCUGGACCGUAACUGACGCUGAGGCAUGAAAGCGUGGGGAGCAAACA
rnacentral:rRNA from 1 species